GAUGAACGCUAGCGGCAGGCUUAAUACAUGCAAGUCGAGGGGUAGCAAGAUUGUAGCAAUACAAUUGUUGACGACCGGCAAACGGGUGCGGAACACGUACACAACCUUCCUACAAGUGGGGAAUAGCCCAGAGAAAUUUGGAUUAAUACCCCGUAACAUAGCGAUGUGGCAUCACAUUGCUAUUAUAGCUUCGGCGCUUGUUGAUGGGUGUGCGGCUGAUUAGAUAGUUGGCGGGGUAACGGCCCACCAAGUCUACGAUCAGUAGCUGAUGUGAGAGCAUGAUCAGCCACACGGGCACUGAGACACGGGCCCGACUCCUACGGGAGGCAGCAGUAAGGAAUAUUGGACAAUGGACGCAAGUCUGAUCCAGCCACGCCGCGUGAAGGAUUAAGGUCCUCUGGAUUGUAAACUUCUUUUAUAAGGGACGAAAAAAGGUCUUUCUAGAUCGUCUGACGGUACCUUAUGAAUAAGCACCGGCUAACUCCGUGACAGCCGCCGCCGUAACAC
rnacentral:rRNA from 1 species